rnacentral:rRNA from 1 species
ACACCGCCCGUCACACCAUGGGAGUCAGUAACGCCCGAAGUCAGUGACCUAACUGCAAAGAAGGAGCUGCCGAAGGCGGGACCGAUGACUGGGGUGAAGUCGUAACAAGGUAGCCGUAUCGGAAGGUGCGGCUGGAUCACCUCCUUUCUAAGGAA